rnacentral:misc_RNA from 1 species
UCUCCGUAGGUGAACCUGCGGAGGGAUCAUUACUGAGUGAGGGCCUUCGGGCUCGACCUCCAACCCUUUGUAAUCCAUACCAUGUUGCCUCGGGGGCGACCCUGCCGUUCGCGGCGUGGGGCCCCCGGAGCCCAUCAAACCCUGCGUAACUAAGUCGUCGGAGUUUAAACAAAUUAAACAAAACUUUCAACAACGGAUCUCUUGGUUCGGGCAUCGAUGAAGAACGCGC